GACGAACGCUGGCGGCGGGCUUAACACAUGCAAGUCGAACGGAAAGGCCCUGCUUUUGUGGGGUGCUCGAGUGGCGAACGGGUGAGUAACACGUGAGUAACCUGCCCUUGACUUUGGGAUAACUUCAGGAAACUGGGGCUAAUACCGGAUAGGAGCUCCUGCUGCAUGGUGGGGGUUGGAAAGUUUCGGCGGUUGGGGAUGGACUCGCGGCUUAUCAGCUUGUUGGUGGGGUAGUGGCUUACCAAGGCUUUGACGGGUAGCCGGCCUGAGAGGGUGACCGGCCACAUUGGGACUGAGAUACGGCGCAGACUCCUACGGGAGGCAGCAGUGGGGAAUAUUGCACAAUGGGCGGAAGCCUGAUGCAGCAACGCCGCGUGCGGGAUGACGGCCUUCGGGUUGUAAACCGCUUUCGCCUGUGACGAAGCGUGAGUGACGGUAAUGGGUAAAGAAGCACCGGCUAACUACGUG
rnacentral:rRNA from 1 species